rnacentral:rRNA from 1 species
CUUGACCCGGGCCAAGUAGCAUAAUCAAUUGUUUUUUAAUUAAAAACUAGAAUGAAUGGUUUGAUGAGAUAAAAUCUAUUUUUAUUUUAAUAAAAUAAACUUAAAAUUUAAGUAAAAAUGCUUAAAUAAAAAAAAUAGACGAGAAGACCCUAUAAAUCUUUAUUUUAAAAUUUUAUAAUCUAUAAAGAAUCACACUUUUUAUAAAAAUAAAAAAUUAUAUUGGGGUGAUAGUGAAAUUUCAUAAACUUUUACUUUUUAUAUUAUUAUAAAAUUAAUAAUUUUUUUAUUAAUUAAUCCAUUAUUAAUGAUUAAAAAUUUAAGAUACUUUAGGGAUAACAGCGUAAUUAUUUUAAAGAGUUCUUAUCGAUAAAAUAGUUUGCGACCUCGAUGUUGAAUUAAGAGUAAGUGAAAUGAAGAAAUUGAAC